UAGUUUUUCCUCUUUUUACCUUCAUCUGCUCUACGUCAGAUGAGAUAACGAAAUGGUCAGCCCCAAGCAGGCUCAGUGCUCCCUCCUUUUUAGAAAUGCUUGUACUGAACACUGUGACUUUCAGUCCAAAAGCCUUCCCAAACUUAACUGCCAAAUGACCGAGCCCGCCAAGUCCAAUUACACCUAGAGACUUACCAGGUUGGUUCUUUGUGACGUAUCAUUGGAGUGUACACCGUGAUUCCAGCACAGAGCAAUGGCGCUGCUAGAUCCAUCGGGUAGUUUUCUGGAAUCCUGAAGCAAUACCUGUCAAUGAAGCACCACGAUUAAGUUUCCAAAUAACACCAAGAGAGGAAGUGGUUUCCCAAUAGAAUCAGCAUCCUGUCUUUGUUGUCUAAAAGGAAUCAAAUCACAGAGCCAGACAUCCUAUCUUCCACAUGCUUGGGAAUUUUACUUGCUUAGACCACAAUUCAGCAUCAUGUUGUUUCUGUGAUCCUUGUUCUGACCACAAAUUGCUCAAGACAAACAUUUCUUGCUGUAGCAAUGUAAAUAAAGCAAUUGCAGCAUACAAGAGGCCACACUCGAUUAAAAUUAAGAAAAGACACUUGCUCUAAGAAAGGAAACUGGUGGCAUAUCACAUAUGCUUGACUGAACACGUAAUUUCUGUAUUUCCUUCAAUCAAUUUCUCCAAAGGACUCAAGAUUCCUGUGGCUCUAUCAGAAACAAGAAUUAGUGAAAGCACAUACAUUUAGCUACCCAUUUGAUCUGAUAUUUAUGAUCUAACUCUAACAAUCUAAGGACAGCUUAUUCCAUUCUUGACGAUGGUUAUUCAAAAGAAAGAAUUUCUUUUCGCAUUUAAUAAAGCCAAUUCUCCAUUGAAUGGUUUGAAUGGUAAUUGGAUACAGAGGACUUAAAGACUCUCCAGAGUCGUUAUAGAAAGUAUCUUUAUCCCGUUCCACAAGAUGCAAUUAAUGCCUAAAAGCCAUUCCUCACAGUCCUAUGCAUUAUGCCACUUCUGGUCACAAUCAGAAUAAGAAGAAAAUUAGCAGAGAAGAAGACAUGACAUGAAAUCUUUUUUUGGCCACCAUGAUUUGGAAUUCUGUCACAGUGCAAAAUGCUGCCUAAUAACACUGUGUCAAUAAGCAAUUACCUUUCAUGGACGACAAUGUGACUAGAAUAUCCUCCCUUUGUGACUGUACCAUCCGCAUCGAUUCCAUCAAAAGUCAAAACCGCCUUUUCACAUUGGGUUUCUAGCCUGUCAUUGCAAUACUCGCACUCUCUGCAUGAAUUGACAUAAGUUCCCACCCCCACAUGAUUGCCAACUUUGAAGCGUUGGACACUGGAGCCAACCUGUUUCACAAUUCCAACUAUCUCGAGCCUGAAUCAAUCAAAAAAAUCAUUUGCAAAUUUUGUUCAGAGAAUUAUGAGGAUGGUGCUAAGAAAAAAAGAUUAACAUUCGAAUCACGCUGCAUCCUACCCUGGCACCAGAGGAUACUUGGAGUGUCCCUGCACAUUCCUAGUCCAAGCCACAUCUGCAUAGCACACUCCACAGUGCGUGAUCUUAAUCGAGACGUCUUCGCUUCCCACGGCCCUAAAGAGAUGAUUCCCAAACAGGUGAGCAUAUAAUCCAGUGAAUAAUCAGACUAGGGUACCUUUUUUUUCCAUUUUCAAGAUCAACAAACUAAGCUUGACCUACGAUUAUCGAGAAAACAAGAAACCAGAAAUGAGAAAAGGAAAAAUUCCAUGACUACAAGCAUAUUUGUCCAUACGGUAGAUACAACCUCAAAUGCUCAGAAAGGCAGCCAGUACAGGAUCCUCAUGUCUGCCAUGAAAUUCUGAGUAACCCAUAACCAACAAUUCUCGACCCAGAAUUCAGCGCAUACACAACAAAAGAAAGAACGAAAAAAAAUGAAAUGGUCUGGACCGAAAACUGUCUCGCAUGAACACUUCGGUAGAAAUCGAAAAACAAAUGGCAAUACCUGCGGGUGAAUUUGUAGGGGGAGAGGAACCCAGAAGGGUCCCGGGCAGCCCAACCGAGGCAAUCCUCCUUCCCACCCUCCGAGCUCAUCUUCUGUACCUACACACCCAGCGAAGCAAUCACACAAACGGGUACGGUUAGAUUCAUCCAAAGAAGAAGAAGAAGAAGAAAGGGUGAGAACUCGAACGAGAGAGUGCCCAAGAUCAGAGACUCGACGGGUCAUCACUAGGCGACGACUCGAGUCACAACAAGCUCGCCAUCACUCACUCACCUACACCCACCUACCCAAACACAACCCCACAGCAACUCAGAGAGAGAGAGAGAGAUGACUACGGAGAUGGAGAGAGGUUACGCGGUGGAGUAUGCGGGAGCGCGAAGAGGGUGAUGAGCCGAGCAGAGCCGAGGACGGGAGGUUCAACGAAGACUUUGCCCCCUCCCUACCUUGCAGGAGAGCUGCGAGUAAUCCGAUGGAUUAAAUUGGAAGGAAAAAUUAUCCCAAACUUUAGCUCAAUAUGUAACGUCAUCUAUAAAUUUUUAAUUUACUCGAUAUGAUUAUAUUAUAUGUUAUUGCAAAUUUUAAAUUAAUGGAAUAACAAUGUUGAAUAUUUUUAUAUAUUGAAUAUAUAUUAAAAGUUCAUUAACUAUAUUAAAUAAGUUAAAAGUUUACAGACUAUAUUUCGCAUUACAUUAAAGUUCAAGGACAACAUUAAAUAAAUUAAAAAUUUAGGGAUUACAUUGCAUGUUAGAUCAAAAUUCAAGAUCAUUUAUGUGGUUAUCACAAAUAACUACUAUCAAUGGAAUUACCAUUAGGAAAUUGAAUAUCUAAACGGAGUCGAAGAUAAGUAUUUAAGUUUGUCAUGCCCCGAACCCCGAAGGCGUGUCCAUCUCUCUUUGGUCGAUAAUAUUUUGUGACUUCUCAAGACAAGUCGUCAACCCUUUUUGUUUUAUUGCACAUGCGAAAGCAAAUAAUAAAUCUCCUGUUAGUAAUCAUCUUGGGAUAGAAACAUGACAACAGAUUCAUAAACAAACAUGCUUUUGUAAUUACAUAGUCAUGUAUAGGGUUUAUGACCAAAAGAUCACAAGGACUGGCUUUUAAAAAAGAAACGGUUCUAAUUGACCUACAUUUCUGAUCAUCUCCUCUCAGCUCUAGGUCCUUCACUUGACGACUUUGAAAGACAAUGUCUCAGUAAGUCCAUCUACUAAACCCUGAUUAUGAGGGAAAUACGCUUCAGGACACUCUAGUCACACAACCACACAAUUAGAUAGGAAACUUAUCUCGCCUUAGUUUCUUCCUAUAGAUUAGCACAAUUCAUAUCUCAAAUGCAUGCAAUUUAUGCAUAUGACAAUUAAAACGCCUUACUUUUCUUAAUCAAUUACAAGGGUCUCAGCCCAGUUCAUCAUAGGAGUCUCAAUUAUAAGACCAAACUGUUAUGAUACAAUCCAUAUCAUGCCACGCAAUUUUGUCUCAUAAUCAAGCGCAUCAAACUCAGACAAUCAUGCGUUCCAAUUGUUAAUUAAGCCACUCAAGGCACUGUCGACAUCCAUGUUCGAUAGUCUAUUGGCAUAGCCAGGUAUCGUCUCUUCCUCAUAGAGCACGGCUACGUCACAUUGGCGACUAUCCCGAACGCGCUUAGGUCCAGAAUCUACUACGACCCGCUACCCUAAUGCAUGGGUAACCUGAAAAGUGGGAUUUAGUAAUGUCCAGCGUAAACGCUAGGACGGGUUCACUUUAACCAACACACGACCACUCAAUCUCGGCCUAGGAUACUGUGCAUUGUACACAAAUGCCUUAAUUAAAGUAGUGAUCCUGGUAUAUUUUCUUCGUAUUAAAAACAUUCCAGAAAAUAGUCGUGUGUGGGUAUACAAUCAGAUUGAACCCAAAAAAUUCAUAACAUUCUUUUAAAAAAUCCAAUGGUUUAUACUGUAUAUAAAACCAUUUUCGGUAUUUAAAACCCGACACCCAAGAUUUUCUGAAUAAAUAACAAAUUUUAUAAAUUUUUAGAAUAAAUGUCCAAAAAUCCAAUUAACACUCAAUUUGCGUAAUUUAACACUCGAUUGUAGAAAUUAACCACACCAUUGCAAUUAGUACGAAAUUCCGAUCAUUGGCUAUCCCGGCCUAAUUUGCGGAAAAUAUUUAAUAAUUAAUUAAUUUCUAAAAUUAAUUAAAUAAAUCAAUUUAAAUACUAAAAUGCCAACCUAGGCCAAAAUCACUAAAUUAAAUACCAACACGGACCCAAAAAAUUCUUGAACCCUUCUAGAUAAAUAACACAAUUUAUCUAGGUCUCACUUAAUCUAAUCUAAUCACCUAACAUGUAUAAUUGCAUAAUUAAAUCACUAAAUUAAUCUAACUAACCACCUAAUUCAUAAUUAAAUAAAUAUAAACACAUCUUAGACAUCAUUAGCCUACUAAGAAGAGUUUAGUGAAUAAACUCACCGGUUAAUUGCGAAAACCGGUUCACUGCGAUGAUGACGUGACAGCAGCUGAAAUCCGAAUUUUCGGUAGCAUCGAUAGACACUCAGACCGGGCACAAAAACCUUGCAAGCCCACAGCAAAUUGCUAGGCUUGGUCUGGGCUUGACCUGAACUUGGGCCUGAGCUUGGGCUGACUUGCUUUGUGGGCUUGGGCUCGGAACAAAAGCUGAAAUUACGAACUAGGCUUGCGACACUUGCUGGGCUUGACUGAAGAUGGGCUACUGCGCAGGCUCAAAGGAGCUGCUGGGCCGGAAUUGUCGCAGUGAAGAUGGACUUCAAAUUGCUGGGCCGAGAAGCCUAGCCCGUUCACGGCCACAGCUGGGCUGAGCUAGGGCCGAAGACACAAAAUGGAGAAACGGGCGUGGAAGCUGGGCUGCUUCAACUUCGCUGGAAACGUGGAUGGCUUGAAGGAACUGAGGCAGCCACGAAGAUGGAAGAAGCAACGUCGACGAACUGCUUGGGACGAUGGCAGCUGGUGGAAGAGUCAACUUCGGUGGUCACAUGGGCUGGCUUAUUGACCGAGAGAGGGCAGGCGGUGGACGUGUGGCAGCUACUGGAUCCGCGUGAGGCUUCGGUGGGUUUUGUUUCGCGGAGAUGAGCUGCUCGGUUGAAAGAAAAAUCGGUGGUGUUGAGCUGGCGAUGUGCAGGCGUGCGUCGUUGAAGAUUUCUUGGUCAAUAAACGGCAAUAUGACAAAGAUGGUGGCUGGCUUCGGUUUUGAGGGAUAAUGGGGAGAAAACAAAGUUGCAGGUGUGCGGCGUGGAUGACCGAAGGGGAUUGGGCGAAGGAAAUGAAAAUAAAAGAAUGAAAGGAACGGCAGAAGCUGAGGAAGAAGUGUUCGUUUUUCUUGGUGAGUGAUAGAGAGACAAAAAGUCCAACACUCAGCCAAAUUCAUAAAUGCUUGGUCCCCUUAGACCUUCACUCUUAUCCCUUUUGUCUCCAAUUACUUUCUAAGCUUUCUCUUCACCAAUAAACCUAAUUUUGAAGCCCAAAAUUGUUGCCCUUUUCCAAAUCCGAAUUUCACAAUUUUUGGCCUUCAAUUUCUUCAACAAUUUCCCAAAUUCGACGUCCAAUUUUGAUGUAAAAAAAACCUACAUAAUUUCUACUAGUCCCCCUCGCCAUAUAGCUCGGUUUGCAAGGCGAAAAUCUCUUCAUUUUGACUGAUCCGAAUUUCCACUAAUUUUUCGCAACGUCCAAAUCGAUUUUUCGUAAAAAUCUCGGGAUCCUCAAAAAAUCUUCGGAGGAUGACGACGUUCCUAAAAUAGAUCGUGACAUGAUAGAAAUUUUAAUUUUUAAAAUCGGGUUCAAGUUCGCGGUUAAUUUCAAUCCAACGCGUUUUUAGCGUGACCUAAUCUACUAGGUAACUUUUAUGAAUUUUUUGUACAAUUGACCCGUGAUCGAUUUAUCUCGAGUCACAUUGUACAUAUUCGAUACAUGACGACUCUCGAUUGUUGUGAAAAUCUCGAGAUAUCAAUUACGGGCACCAGGUACCAAAACGAUAGAAAAUCGAUUUAGUGCCGAUCGACGAGUAUUUUGCAAUUAGGUGGAAUCACUUACACUCUAAUCACACAUCUCACUCAAGUUAACCUAUCUUCGGUCUCUAAUUGAUUUCGACAGUAUUGUAAUGACCCUUCCAGAUCAACACGGUUAAGCAAUCAAUUCCUGGUCGAAUUCUCAAGUCCAUUGUAUUUAGAUUCCUUAAUUGUUUCUCCAGAUAGUCUAGUUAUCUUGUGAGUGAUCGGCUCAAAGAAUAGCACUAUCAACGCGUCGACGAAAGGCCCAAUUUAUUUAAUUGAAAACGAAUUAUGAAAGUUCAAGCUGUCACAAAGUUUGCCCUAAGCAUUGAAAAAUAAAAUAAAAUAAGGGGACAAUCUAAAGAGUUUAGUACAAUUUUAGUCUUGGGAGUUUCUAUGUUACAUAUGAUCUAGUCCUCUAACUUUUCUAUUUUUAUACACUCAAAUCUUUUGUCAUAUUUAGUUUUUAUGCAAUUAAGUUUUAUUUUUUCAUUCAAGUCAAUCAACGUUCUCAACUAGUGCAAUCGAGUACUUCACUCACCCAUCAUAACACACAAUUCCAUUUUUCUUUUUCUAAGUUUACUUUUCGCUUAUUUGGCACCACCUCAACAUUGUGCGAUAUUUUCUACCUCAAUGAUAAUACUAUGUUAUUGAUUACUAUGACGCAUUCAGCAAGAGGAUUUAUUGAACGAUUUAAUUGCACGAAUCAAGAAAGUUAGAAGACUUGAUUGAACAAAAUAUAAAGUUAAGAGGAUCAAAUUGUGCCGAUAUGGAAAUUUGGAUGACUAAAAUUGCAUCAAACCCUUUUAUAGGGAGAUGGGUCAGCCACAAUAACAUAUUCUUUUUCAGUGACUGGCUUUGACACAACCAAUACAACAGUAGUACGAAAAUGAAAGAUGAGUGGACAAAAGAAGGGCAACAGAUGUUAAACGAAACCUGUUUCCCAAAAGCACCAUGCAGAAACUUCCUUUCAUUGGAAAAUUUUUCUUGAAACGGAACUAAAGAUUACUGGCUUCGACAUAAUCGAUGAACAUACCAAGAGCUGAGGCCUUAUCCAACAACAACGUGAAAAUGAAAAAUGAGUUGAAAAGAAAUGGACAGCAGCUGUCAAAUUAAACAUUUUUUCCAUGUCUCGUUCAGAACUUGUCACUCCCUCAUUACCAUCUUGACCCUUUUGAAAUUGGAAGUGAAGGUUACUGGCUUCGACAUGACCAAUGUAUAACUUGUCGCUCAUGCAAUAUGGUAUAUAGAAAUGAAAGAUGAGUAGAAAAAGAAAUGGACGAUUGCUGUCAAAUUAAAACCUUUCCCAAGUCAACUUGUCGCUCCCCUUCCUUCCAUUAAAAUGCUUUUAUGGUGGAACUGAAGAUUACUGGCUUUGACACAACCAAUGUAAACCCUCCAAGAGGUGAGAGAACUUAUGCAAAAGUAUAAAAAUGAAAGACAAGUCGAAAAGAUGAGGACAAUAACCAAACGCGUGCAACUCAAUUGCACUUUUCGAUAAGGAUAAACUGUACCUCUCCUCAUCAUUGAAAGAGAUAGGAUUAAACGCAGACGUGAUUGACAUAGAGAUUCUUACUAGAAAUUAAAUAAAAAUAAGUCUUUCUUGGUAACAGGAUGUUUGUUCUCGUGACCGUGUAGGUCUUUCUAGGUUCUCUGACGCGUGCCAUGAGGUCAUGGCAUGUUAUGCAACCAGAGAUAUCCAUUCCAUAUUUCUAUGGUAACUAUCCAUCGUUACCUCCUGUGAACCUAAGAAGAACAAAACCAAUCCAUAAAGCUGUGGAGGAUCAAGAACAACCCGCCCUAAGUUAUUGAUGAACUGAGUUAACUGUUUGAAGCCUAAGUAGCGAAUCAUUUAAAGUUUAAGCUACUAAAAUGUCAGAUGCCAAACAGAAGGAAAAUCUACAGAGCCAACAUCUGCAUCGGAUCAACGAUGGCAUAUCAACAACUAAGGGAAAAAUCUGCUACUAAAUAUUUAUCUGAAACUACAAGCGAGGAUCGCGUUGCACUUGCAUAAGUCUGUUAACGCAGGUCAAUGGUCAUGUUCUGGCCAGCUAUGUAAGAAGUUUGAAAACUCUACACGGACAGGCACCAUUUGCAAGAAGACCUGUUCCCUCAAAUGCUCAUCUUUGUACUGAGCUGGAAAUGCUUUUAGCAGAUGACUGUGCCUCCAGAAACAAAUCGCACGAAGUGGCCCACAAUUCUCUGGCAAGUCCGGUGUCGUACGAAACUGAAGAAGAGUUGAUAGUCCGGCACUUCCCACCAAAGAAUACACACCAGAAAUUUCCUAUAUUUGCAAGACAGCGGCUAUUAGUAAGCACUGUUCCAACAUAUAAUAGCAGCCGCAUAAGAUUGAUACCACAGAUUAUCAGCAGAGAAGGGAAAAUCAAUUCUGGAAACACUCUGUCAUACCGUAGAAUCAACAUUAAUGGAUUUUAUGUCCAAUGCUAGUACGACCUCAAUUGAGGAUAAAACGAGAGAGACUCAUUCAAGAUGGUUCAGAUAAGUGAAGCACCAGUACAGGAAUGCUUUACACCAGCCCCAUUUAGUGGGAAAAAAUCACUAUCACCCAUAUCUGCAGCUGUGGUUGCCUAUUGAGAUGAAACACAAGUGAUUUCAUUGCAGUCCCAUCUAGCAGUCCCAUCUAGCAUAUAGCAGAAAUUAAAGAUAACGAUUGCAGUCAGAAAAACACAUAAGAGAAUUGUUGCUGUAACUCUCUUUACUUUAUUCAUCAGAACAUAAGCCUAUUAAAUACGCAGAACAUCCAAACCACUAAGCAAGAAAAUAGCUAUAGAACAACAACAACAAAGACCCACUAACACACCCCACUGACCAGAACAUGUGGAGAAACUAACUCCUAAAAACAAGCCACUUCCUAUUGAAUAGGACUCCACUAUUACAUUAUUGAAGACAUGUAAAAACUGAAAGUUCACUACUUCAACAAUUGAUGGUGUCACUUCAAGGAGUUCUCAAUGUCGAUCACAAAUCGAUACUUAACAUCUCUCUUGAUGAGCCUCUCUAGAGCUUCGUUGGCAUAAUCGAUCGGUAUCACUUCGAUAUUUGGGUAUAUCUUCUGCGCUGCACAUAGGUCUAUCAUUUCUUGGGUAUCCUUUGUUCCUCCCGUUAGGCUACCUGAAACAGUUCUCAUAUCUGCCAAAAGUUCACCGCGAGCAACUUAGUUCACCUAUCAGGUAUAAAAUUUCUUUUAGUAAUCAGAUUUAGAACAAAAACAUACUGUGGUUAAGGCUGGCUGGACUGAAUUUAACUUCGCUCGAGCCGACCAAUGCUAGAAUGCCACCCGUCUUCAAAACAGACAUGUAAGGAUCAAAUGGGUGAUUGCCGGAUGCCGUGUCAAUUAUAAAGUCCAGGGACUUAGCAAUGGCCUGCGUGCAUUGGAUUUAUCAGAUCACAACAGAAUUUGACCACCAUGGAUCUCAAUGUGGGAUAAUUCUAGUUUUUCCUUUUUUUACCUUCAUUUGCUCUACGUCAGAUGAGAUAACGAAAUGGUCAGCCCCAAGCAGGCUCAGUGCUUCCUCCUUUUUAGAAAUGCUUGUACUGAACACUGUGACUUUCAGGUCCAAAAGCCUUCCCAAACUUAACUGCCAUAUGACCGAGCCCGCCAAGUCCAAUUACACCUAGAGACUUACCAGGUUGGUUCAUCUUGUGACGUAUCAUUGGAGUGUACACCGUGAUUCCAGCACAGAGCAAUGGCGCUGCUAGAUCCAUCGGGUAGUUUUCUGGAAUCCUGAAGCAAUACCUGUCAAUGAAGCACCACCAUUAAGUUUCCAAAUAACACCAAGACAGGAAGUGAUUUCCCAAUAGAAUCAGCAUCCUGUCUUUUUUGUCUAAAAGGAAUCAAAUCACAGAGCCAGAAAUCCUAUCUUCCGCAUGCUAAGGAAUUUUACUUGCUUAGACCACAAUUCAGCAUCAUGUUGUUUCCGUGAUCCUUGUUCUGACCACAAAUUGCUCAAGACAAACAUUUCUUGCUGUAGCAACGAAAAUAAAGCAAUUGCAGC
rnacentral:lncRNA from 1 species